rnacentral:rRNA from 1 species
UACGGAGGAGGCAAGCGUUAUCCGGAAUUAUUGGGCGUAAAGCGUCCGUAGAUGGUUUUGUCAGUCUGCUGUCAAAGCACAGGGCUUAACCCUGUAAAGGCAGUGGAAACUACAAGACUAGAGUGCAGUAGGGGCAGAGGGAAUUCCCAGUGUAGCGGUGAAAUGCGUAGAGAUUGGGAAGAACACCCGUGGCGAAAGCGCUCUGCUGGACUGCAACUGACAUUGAGGGACGAAAGCUAGGGGAGCGAACGGG